GGAAGGUUAGUCUUAAUAUAGAAGAUAUAGGGUUGUCAACCCUGAGAGGUUACUUGUAACACCUUCUU
rnacentral:tRNA from 1 species